ACCCUGUAUUCUUUUUUUUAGACCCUUCUUUCUUUUUGUUUUGUUUUGUUUCUUCAUCCUUCAGUUUCAAUUGCGGAGACGACACACUAAAAUCUCCCAAAAAAAAAUAUCUAGGGUUUCGCCCCCUCUACAACCCGACUUCAAUUCAAUCUAUAAUCUUCUUCACCUUCCCUUCCUCAAUUCCCCGUUUUCCCUCUCUACGCAAAUCGUCUACUUUGUUUAUCGUUUUCGGUUUCGGUUUCCAAUUGGCUGCGAUUUUGCCUCAUUCGUUUUUGGCCUUUGCAGCAGAAAGCUUUUUGGUUUUCUUUUUCAUUGAGUUUUACUGUGACGCGCGUUUUGGUUGGUUGCGCUUGAUCGAAGUUUGAAUUUGGGGGGUUUAGGUUUUGGCAUUGAUGGGCAGCGGUGGCGAAGAAGAUGUUGAGUACGAGAGUGAUCCCGAGGAGUCUAAACGAGCCCUCGGAAUGCGGAGGAGGGUUGAGGCGAGUGACGAUGAAGGUGACGCUGAAGCAGAAGCCGAACUUGAAGCUGAAGCCAAGGGUGCAGAUCGCCGCGUGAUUUGUUCCGAUGUUUCCGACGGCGAGGGAGGAGUGGCCGAUUACGAUGAGGAGGAGGAAGAAGAGGAAUUGGACGAGGAAGAAGCUGAAGAAGAAGAAUUGGAUGAGGAGGAGGAAGAAGACGAGGUGUACGAGGAGGAGAGGGGCAUUGAUGAAGGUGGGGGUGUGAAUGGCUCAGUGGCUAUGCCAAAGGGUUCUGAUGGUGCUGAUGAGAAACCCCAUUUGGAAGAAGAGGAUGAAGAAGAAGGAGGAGAAUCAGGGAACAAGGAUGACGAGGAGAAGAAGGAGAAUGAGCCAUUUGCGGUGCCCACAGCUGGAGUGUUUUACAUGCACGAUGACCGUUUCAGGGAUAAUGCUGGUGCUCGCCACAGGAGAAUGCGCGGUGGAAGGAGGCUGUGGGAGUCUAAAGAUGAUAGGAAAUGGGGACACGAUAAGUAUGAGGAGAUUACUUCUCAGGAAAGGCACUACAAGGAGGGAAGGAAGCUUUCUAGGGGUAACUAUAGAGGAGGGCGGGGUAAAAGUCGUGGUGUUGGUCGUGGAGGAUAUGCUCGAGGAAAUAGGAAAGGGUAUGAAAACAGUGGUAAUCAAACUCAGGUUCCGAAAGCGGUUGUGCGAGGGAGAGGGCCACGGCGGUAUGAGCCUGCCAUGAAAAAUGGUGAUCAAACAUCCCAGAUGCAAAAUAGACAAUCUUCUUCAAAGCCUUUUGAGAAAACUUCACAUACUAGUUCAGGGAGAACCGCUGGAUCUACCUCCAAUUAUGAAUCAGAUCCUGUGCCUGCUGCUAAGAAACAAGUGUCUUCGAAUUUGAAUUACGCAUCUCCCCCGUUUUACCCUUCAGGCUCAUCCAACAAAGAGAUGAAUCUGGCAUCAAAAAGGGAUGUCCAAACUGGCAGCACAAGCAGGAGUGGUCGUCCUGGAGUUGUGGAAGAGGGAGUUUCAGUUCAACAAAACAAUUCUUUGCUUCGUGGAAAGAAUGUUGUUGAUACUACUAUAGGUAUGGAUAAGCUGUAUAUUGAAGAGUCCAUCAAUCCGUCUGUUGGCAAGUCCUUGAACAGUAUGCAUGCUGUACCUCCUGGAUCAUCUGGGGUUAAUGCUUCUCAAUCUUCUCACUCAAGGGCUCCAUUGAGGGGUGGGGCAAUUCCAGUACAGAUGAAUUUUCAGCCUGCUAUUGCACAUAAUCAAGUGAACAAAUUUGCUCCAACACAACACCAGUCAACUGUCCAGAGGAAUCAUGCGCCAGCACGAAUUCCAACCACUUUGCAAGCCUCUGCUCCACAGAUUGGUCAACGUCCUGGCACCGGUUCUCAAGCUUCAUCUCCGCCAAAAACAUCUGUGGCAAUCAGUUCGUUGGAUUCUGGAGAAAUUGACGCUACUUCAGAAUCAGGUAAAUCUAAAGGUGCAUUGGUUGGGAAGGGAAGGGGGGGUUCUCAGGGAAGUGGAAGGGGCUCUUUCGUUUAUGGUGGAGCUAUGGGGGCUGCUGGAAAUAUGGGGGGUAAUCAUGGAGAUCCAAACUUCCCAGCCUUCUUGCCAGUUAUGCAGUUUGGAGGCCAGCAUCCUGGGGGUAUUGGAGUCCCUGCUGUUGGCAUGGCAUUCCCAGGAUAUGUUGCUCAGCCUAAUGGUUUGGGAAACUCUGAAAUGACAUGGCUACCUGUUUUGGCCGGUGCAGCAGGAGCUUUAGGGGCUACAUACUGUCCACCCUAUCUCACUGUUGACGGUGCCUAUCAUGGUCGACAGUCAGGGCAGGCAUCUGCAACAGCUACUUCAAGCAAGGAAACUGAUGCUAAUAAAGCUUCUAGUGAGUGGAAGCCACCACAGAGAGCUGAGCCUGUAAAUGAUGAGUUUGGACAGCGGCAGAAUAAACCCCGCAGAUACUCAGAGAUGAAUUUUGGACAGUGAAGUAUUUUACAUACGAUGCAACUUGUUUGAAUAAGACUAUAAAGGCCUCCAUCAGGCCCUUUGUUCUCCAGCGUUUGCUCUGGAGUACUUUGGGCUGCAAUAGGUUUCAAGAUUUUUUAGUUCUAUAACGCCUGUUGAUGCUGUUUCCCAUUUAAAGAAGUUGUUGCAGCUUGGCAGGUGGUAGUUGCUUGUGUAAUUGUGCGGUUUUUCUUGCGGUUUGCUUGCUUUUUUAGUGAAGCAUAACAAGAUAACAUAUGCUGUGGCCUCUCUACAACUACUACUACAACCAUGCAUAUGUCCAAAGAAAACGAUAUUUUAUUUGCAGCAACUGAUUGCUUGUGGGAGUUAUAAGAUUUCUCAUGUUAAUGGGCUUCUUUUUUAUAUUUAUCUGCUAUCUCGAAUUGUGGGUUAAAUUAUCUAGGUCCACGGAGACAUUUUUAUAAUAUUUUCCAUUUUUUUUUCUCUUCUCUUUUAUAUCUAAGUAUCCGUUUUUGACUGUAUGGUUUUGCUAUUGAGACCUGAGAAACCAAUUUCCGAGUUAUGCUGUAUUAGCUGUUAAAUAUGAGUUUGUUUUUUUU